rnacentral:rRNA from 1 species
AGUGAACGCUGGCGGUAGGCCUAACACAUGCAAGUCGAGCGGCAGCACAGUAGAGCUUGCUCUUACGGGUGGCGAGUGGCGGACGGGUGAGGAAUACAUCGGAAUCUACUUUUUCGUGGGGGAUAACGUAGGGAAACUUACGCUAAUACCGCAUACGACCUACGGGUGAAAGCAGGGGAUCUUCGGACCUUGCGCGAUUGAAUGAGCCGAUGUCGGAUUAGCUAGUUGGCGGGGUAAAGGCCCACCAAGGCGACGAUCCGUAGCUGGUCUGAGAGGAUGAUCAGCCACACUGGAACUGAGACACGGUCCAGACUCCUACGGGAGGCAGCAGUGGGGAAUAUUGGACAAUGGGCGCAAGCCUGAUCCAGCCAUACCGCGUGGGUGAAGAAGGCCUUCGGGUUGUAAAGCCCUUUUGUUGGGAAAGAAAAGCAGCAGGUUAAUACCCCGCUGUUCUGACGGUACCCAAAGAAUAAGCACCGGCUAACUUCGUG